AGGACGAACGCUGGCGGCGUGCUUAACACAUGCAAGUCGAGCGGUGAUCCUCCUUCGGGAGGUGAGCAGCGGCGAACGGGUGAGUAACACGUGGGCAACCUGCCCCUCACACUGGGAUAACCUCGGGAAACCGAGGCUAAUACCGCAUAACAUCGUGAGAUCAAAGCAGUAAUGCGCUGGAAGAGGGGGUCGCGGCUGAUUAGCUAGUUGGCGGGUAAUGGCCCACCAAGGCGAAGAUCGGUA
rnacentral:rRNA from 1 species